ACGUGUCAAAUUUGUAUGGAGUUGGAACAGUUCCCUCUAGCGGCAAACGUAGGCAAACGUUCCAGUUCCAUACAAAUUUGAGUUA
rfam:Bombyx mori DNA, contig: Bm_scaf158_contig40488, strain: p50T/Dazao, build 2, whole genome shotgun sequence.